CCCUUGUACACUGUGCCCUGACCUCCCUGACCAAGUAUUCUGUUAUCAUUGAAACGAUCAGUGGCUUUUUCCAACUCCUUUGAUGUAAAUAUUUUUGUUUUCUGAACACUACAAUCACUUGAAGUUAGUUGUUGUUGUAAAAGUAACCCACCAUUCCUUUUGAAGAACUUUUUUCUGAGUUCGAUUUUCCUUCUUUUCUUCACAUGCUUGCACAAUAUCCAAGUACCAAAGACUAUUACCAACACUCCAAUAAUCCCCCCUACGCACAAUAAUAUAAUCCAUUUUGCAUCAGGUACACAUUUAAAUGAUCCCGAAGUAUUCACACAUUUUGUUAUUCCCUUGCAAUGAUGCUUUUGCUCUUUGCAUUCAUCAAUAUCUG
rnacentral:misc_RNA from 1 species